rfam:Picea glauca, whole genome shotgun sequence.
GCUUGGGCUAGAAUAGUACUGGGAUGGGUGACCUUUCGGGAAGUCCUUGUGUUGCACCCU